rnacentral:tRNA from 2 species
GCCCAGGUAGCUCAGUUGGUAGAGCAGCGGACUGAAAAUCCGCGUGUCGGCUGUUCAAUUCAGCCCCUGGGCACCA